GGAGCACCAAAGAUCAGAGCCAAAGGAGGAUCAUCCUGCUGUGGCGCUGCUUUUGGCUUUAGCAGGGACAGCAAAGGUUCUUCUCAGUUAAAAACACAACUCAUAAAACAAGACAACUACCAGAUUUCCUCCUUCAGAAGUGUGGGAGCCUCAUGCUCAGUGAGUGACUGCAUUUCCCUGGACACAAAUGAAAAAUCACCUUGUGCUCAGGUAAAGAAAGUGUCAGCAUUGCCUAGAAAAGAUGCUGAGAGGAAAAAUGAGCUGGAAGGCACAUCUGCAGCCCCAGAUCACAUUUUCACUUGCUUGAGCGUGUCAGAGUAUCCGACACUGCAACGUUGGACUCUCCUUGGGCACAGAAAUCCUGACUGACAGUUCGGAAUGGAAGCAGGGAAAUACUGAACUCAUGGGCAGGAAAUGGACAUCAUUCAUUCUAAGGAAAAAAAAUCAACUUGGAAAAGCACUCGGAACUUCUCCUACACCCACGUGACGGGAUGGGACCGUGAUGGCUUCUGAGAUGGCUGGAAAACUGCUCCUGACAUGGAUGGCAUCAUCACCAAGAGGGGCUUCUGCACAAAGAAUCCCAAAGCCUAUAAAGUCAUUAAAAAUUGUGCAUCGAAGAAAAGGCAGAGAAAACCCCCAGGACCGGAAGGUGCAAAUACCAGAAACAGCACCCAGCGAGAAAGGAAAUGCCAGCAGUCAGCAAAGAUUGCCAUUUAGCAAGGAAGGGAAACCUCCCAUGUUUUGGCCUAAAAUGCAGGUAAACCUCCCCCAUCCAUGUUUGGAUUUCAGUAUCAAGGUAAGAAAAAGGAAGGCAUAAACCACAGCUCCUCAAUGGGCAUUAAGCAUCUAAUACUUUAAGCCUACACAGAGGCAUUGCCACCCUGGCCUGAUGCUGUUUCUGUCAGACUGAGCCUGUCUAGAGAACUGCGGUUUCCUCAAAAAUAAUUUGUGACCAACUUCCUCUUGCACCCCAAGCUGUAGCUACAAGGGUGUGUAAAGCUUUAUUUUAAAAUUUCUCAAGACUUAAGAACUUGACACCCCUGAGCCCCCAGGCCAGCCCAGGCCGUGUUCAGCUGCCCUGGUGCUGCUCCCCAGGGCCCUGGGGGAACGCCCAGCGCAGCAGCCCCAGGGAGGCUCUGUUUAGUCUGGACACCCCUUAUCAGUGAGACAUCCUGUGAUGCUGAGAGGAAGCCCCACAUCAUUUCCUGCUCCUGGCCAGACGUGUCUCAGCGGGAGCAGGCGGCCACUCCCCUUCCCCUUAUCAGAGCCCUGGAGAUUGUGAGCUUGGCUUCUGCUCUUCCCUCCUCCCUUAAAGCCACCACGCCAGGGACCUGCAGCUCCCACCUCCAGGAGCACCUGUGUCUCACCACAGGCUGCUCCAGCACUCCUCUGCCAUGAGCUUUUCAGGGCUGAGUUAAACUAUGUAAAGUAUUUGAAGUACAUAUAAAUACACACAAAUUAAAGUCUGUUAAACAGAAGCUUUUGAGGACUAUGAGGGAGCUAAAGGGGCACCUCUGUGGCAGGUGCAUGGGAUGAGGUUAAAUUCAGGCUCCAU